UGUGUGGCCCUCUGGUGUACCUGCUCAAGAAUAAACAGCGUCCUGAUGGAUCCUUUCAGGAGGACAAUCCUGUCUAUGACACCAGUAUGAUGGGAGGUCUGCGAGGCUCUGAAUCCAGAGUGUCUCUGACCGCAUUCGUGCUCAUUGCUUUGGCAGAGGCACAAAAUGCUGUUACCUGCCAAGAGCCAGGCCUCAAAAUACAGG